rnacentral:rRNA from 1 species
GAUGAACGCUGGCUACAGGCUUAACACAUGCAAGUCGAGGGGAAACGACGGGGAAGCUUGCUUCCCCGGGCGUCGACCGGCGCACGGGUGAGUAACGCGUAUCCAACCUGCCUCUGACUGAGGGAUAACCCGUCGAAAGUCGGCCUAAUACCUCAUGGUAUCGUCUGCGGGCAUCCAACGACGAUUAAAGAUUUCAUCGGUCAGGGAUGGGGAUGCGUCUGAUUAGCUUGGUGGCGGGGUAACGGCCCACCAAGGCUACGAUCAGUAGGGGUUCUGAGAGGAAGGUCCCCCACAUGGGAACUGAGACACGGUCAAAACGCCUACGGGAGGCAGCAGUGAGGAAUAUUGGUCAGUGGGCGAGAGCCUGAACCAGCCAAGUAGCGUGCAGGAAGACGGCCCUAUGGGUUGUAAACUGCUUUUAUGCGGGGAUAAAGUGAGGGACGGGUCCCUCAUUGCAGGUACCGCAUGAAUAAGGACCGGCUAAUUCCGUG